CCAGAAUGAGUGGACGUUACUCGCAGAAUAAGCACCGGCUAACUCUGUGCCAGCAGCCGCGGUAAUACAGAGGGUGCAAGCGUUAAUCGGAUUUACUGGGCGUAAAGCGCGCGUAGGCGGCCAAUUAAGUCAAAUGUGAAAUCCCCGAGCUUAACUUGGGAAUUGCAUUCGAUACUGGUUGGCUAGAGUGUGGGAGAGGAUGGUAGAAUUCCAGGUGUAGCGGUGAAAUGCGUAGAGAUCUGGAGGAAUACCGAUGGCGAAGGCAGCCAUCUGGCCUAACACUGACGCUGAGGUGCGAAAGCAUGGGGAGCAAACAGGAUUAGAUACCCUGGUAGUCCAUGCCGUAAACGAUGUCUACUAGCCGUUGGGGCCUUUGAGGCUUUAGUGGCGCAGCUAACGCGAUAAGUAGACCGCCUGGGGAGUACGGUCGCAAGACUAAAACUCAAAUGAAUUGACGGGGGCCCGCACAAGCGGUGGAGCAUGUGGUUUAAUUCGAUGCAACGCGAAGAACCUUACCUGGCCUUGACAUAGUAGAAACUUUCCAGAGAUGGAUUGGUGCCUUCGGGAAUCUACAUACAGGUGCUGCAUGGCUGUCGUCAGCUCGUGUCGUGAGAUGUUGGGUUAAGUCCCGCAACGAGCGCAACCCUUUUCCUUACUUGCCAGCAUUUCGGAUGGGAACUUUAAGGAUACUGCCAGUGACAAACUGGAGGAAGGCGGGGACGACGUCAAGUCAUCAUGGCCCUUACGGCCAGGGCUACACACGUGCUACAAUGGUCGGUACAAAGGGUUGCUACCUAGCGAUAGGAUGCUAAUCUCAAAAAGCCGAUCGUAGUCCGGAUUGGAGUCUGCAACUCGACUCCAUGAAGUCGGAAUCGCUAGUAAUCGCGGAUCAGAAUGCCGCGGUGAAUACGUUCCCGGGCCUUGUACACACCGCCCGUCACACCAUGGGAGUUUGUUGCACCAGAAGUA
rnacentral:rRNA from 1 species